AAAAAGUCUGGUAGAUGCGGCAGUGCUGCCUAGCCUGAUCUUAUUUGAUACCAUGUGCAAUGAAGCAUAUUUGUUGAAGAAAAAUAAUUUUAUCUUUAUAGAUUGACCUGGGCAUGUACGCUCUGAGAUCCUAAUUAACACCGCUUAGUGUAUAAUUCACAUUUCACCAUGAGAAAAAUUGUCAAUAACCCAUUCUGCUAUAUUUAGAAUAAGGAGCAGAACUUCUAAGUUUUAACCAGAACUAUAUGAGAACUCACAAACUCAGACCAAAUCAAAAAAAGAAACUGGAUGUCGGCCAUGUAAUUAGGUAUUGGUAAUAAAGCCAUGCCACCAUGGUUGCUGCCACGUUAUUUGAUUAGGUAUUUGUUGCAGCACUUACUUUUAAUUAACCAGUAACUAGAUCAUGUUGCAAACAAUAACUGACUCUAUUAUAUAGCCAAUUGACAAUGACAAUGGUGAUUUAAAAUCAGAGAUUUACUGUGAUGAAUAUAAACUAUUGUUAUUGUUGUAUUGCUAAGAAGCUAGGAGUACUGAUGGACUUUGAACUAUGCUGACCUUGAACCCUUUCUCUGUAUUAGUAUAGUUGUUUAAUUUCGAUGACUAGAUAGCACAAGCAUGGAGGCACACAAGCUACAGGUAUCAGUGCAUGUAGAGAUAACCAACAACUCAUGGACAAGUGAGCAACAGUCAAAUAAGCAGAGAAUUUUACCAUAAAGGAUUGAAGCUCAUUUUUCAUGUCAUUGAUGCCACUCAGAAUCUCUAUCUUCUGGACAUGGUUAAGUGAAUUGAUGAAGUUAGCUUCAGCUCCUUCCUGCUGCUCCAACUUCUUCUCCCUUUUCUGCUUAGCUAUCUUCUCAUAUUCCUCAAUAGAGUCCUCCUUAUCAGUAAGAUGUGCAAUGCCUCGUUGUGCAUAGAAGUUGGUGCAUGUUCCACAUUUACACAGGGUCUCUCUCCAGCCUUUUGACAUGAAAAAGGGCAUAGUUUUCUCCAAAUCAGCUGAUGUUGUAUUUAUAUCCACUCCUAUCUUACAGUUGCCGCCUGAAUUGUCACCCAAAAUGGACUUAUCUGAAGCUGCAAUGUCUAUUGUACGGUUCUCCUCGACAAAGGUAUUUUCAAUGCUUUGAUGGUCUACAGGAGCACCGUUUUCAUUUUUCUCAGUGUCAGCAUGACCUGAUGAACCUCCUUCCAUACCAUUUGAAUUGGCAGUAACAGCUUCUGACACAGAACUCUGCUUACUAGAAGCCCAGAUCGUAUCAGGAUAGAGUUUCAAGAAAUAACAAACAGGCGAGCAUUGAUGACAUAUGAAUUCUUCAUACAGUGGCUCCCCUUCCUCAUCCUUUGGUAUCUGCAAUGCAAGUUAGUCAUUAAGCACUAACCACCUAUGAAUAACUGAAAUUUUGUAGCACUAAGAGAUGCUCAGUUGCUAGUNNNNNNNNNNNNNNNNNNNNNNNNNNNNNNNNNNNNNNNNNNNNNNNNNNNNNNNNNNNNNNNNNNNNNNNNNNNNNNNNNNNNNNNNNNNNNNNNNNNNNNNNNNNNNNNNNNNNNNNNNNNNNNNNNNNNNNNNNNNNNNNNNNNNNNNNNNNNNNNNNNNNNNNNNNNNNNNNNNNNNNNNNNNNNNNNNNNNNNNNNNNNNNNNNNNNNNNNNNNNNNNNNNNNNNNNNNNNNNNNNNNNNNNNNNNNAAGUCAAGAAGCAAGACAACACUGAACACACAAAUUCAUUUGUUUUCUACUUUGCCUAUAAAUAAGCAUUUUAUGGGCUAUAUCAAUAUGUAGGCUUAGUUACGGGACUGAUCAAGAAGAGAUGCUCAGUUGCAAGUAACAUAAGCAUUUUAUGGGCAAUCAUACUUCUAGGGGCGGAAAGGCAAGUGGAGAGGCAAGACAACACUGAAGAUGCGAAUUCAUUUGUUUACUAUUUUUACCCAGUAAGGAAGGUAAUGAGUAAUGACAGACCAAGAAAAUAGCACAUUGGUAAGGAAGGUAAUGAGUAAUGACAGACCAAGAAAAUAGCACAUUGGAUGCUUGGUUUCUGAAAAUCAAAACCUAGCAGCAGCACUCGAAAAUAGUUCAAGGUAUAUGUGAUACAAAAUCAUGCAAACUUUCAUAAGAAUCAACACCGGAAGCAGUUAGCACAUAUGAUCCCCUUAAAAAAGUGUGGAAAGUAGAACCUUCUCCAUAGAGUCAAGCCCAAUAUGAUCCUCAUGAAACCAGUCCUCACAAAUACAGCACUGUAUCAUUUCAACUUGCUCCUUGGCUUCUGGAUCAGGAUAGGGCCUACUGCAUGUGCAGUAGGAACCCUUGAAGUUCUGAUUAUAAGAAUUUGCUGGAUUUUCAGGAUCUUUCUCAGGACUAAGUUUGCAGAGGUGACCUCCAAACUUUGAGUUGCCACAGUCACAACGAAAAUUUCGCUUCGUCCAAAGUUCAACAACCUAUAGAAAAAAAACAGGACAAACUUUCCAGGCAUUAGUUGUAUGCACAAUUACAGAUGAGGUUGCAGAAGAUAGUAACUGGGAAGUCAUCAUGCUACAUUUCCUAACUUCUAUGUAUGCAAAUGAGAAACACACUGAUUGGGAGAAAAAAUCAAAACAAAAUUAUUACAGGUGAUCUCAUGAACCAAUAACACAACACCAUAUUUUCUGCUAAAAAAUAUCAGCGUACUGAAAAGCAUGGCAUUGCCUGGUCCGAUCUAACAGAUAUUACCAAAAACAAGAUUCACCCCUAAUUUUAUAUGUAUCAACCUCCUGAAUAAAUUAUCUACACCAGCAAUAAAUAUGUGCACAAUUUCAGCCUGGAGAUGUAUUUUAAAAUUGUGUCAUUCAAAGCUGAGAAGUGGAUAAACCCAUACAAGUCACUAUCUAAGCACCAUGGCAAUUUUUGCAAUGGUCAUUGUAAAAUACCAGGAAGGUGCUUAGUAAACUGGGAUCGUAGGUUGACUGACUAGGAUACUUUAAUGCUAACUAUUGUAUGCUCCGUCAGUCGAACUAAACAAAAUAAAUCUCAAAUGCACUGGCAGCCUUGCAUGCACUUCAUACGCAGCAUAAACACUUCGGUUCUGGCAAAAACUUCACUGCUAGGAGCCUAGGACACAUGACUGCUAGUAAAGCACCGAAAACCAUGAACAAUCUAGAGAACAGCAUGUCUCAGCUCAGUACACUACUUAAAAACGUCUAUGUAUUAAUGCCGAUUCAGGUUCACCAUAAAAAAAUUUGCCCCUCAUACACAACACAUCAUCAAUCGGGAACAACAACACAAAGUUACUCGCAGGAAAUCCAGAUCCGCAUUUCCCCCAAUAUUAAUCCUCCCCAUUUCGUCAGCUGCUCACUUCUCAGGCCCCCUGUGAACGCUGAUCCGGCUUUGUACUAGUAGAACUAAAGUUCAAGCGAACAGGAAAUCUCCAUUUAAAGCAAAUGGCGUUCGAGAAGACAGGAGGGGAUCACCUCGUGGCCGUCGUGGCAGGCGAGGCAGCAGGCGGUGCAGACCCCGGCGACGCCGUCGGGCACGCAGGUGAGGCAGGAGAAGACGGCCUGGCGCUUGAGGUAGCCAGCGUCGUAGGUGCACUCGUUGCCGUCGUCCCCGCCCAGCACCAAAUCCGCCUCCUAGGGUUUGGCAGAGAAAAAGGUGAGCACCGCCAGAUCGAGCUAAAAAAACGGCGGCGAAGGGCGGGAGCGCGUGGGGUGUUGGGUUACCAGCUCCUCGGCCUCGAUGCCUUCCAUGUACUCGCUGAUGGUGACCGUCGGCUCCACCUCGUCCUCGAAGGCGGCGUCGGUCCCGUCGCCGGCCAUGGCGGGCCUAGGGUUAGGGUUUGGUGCGGGGGAUUGCGGAGCGGAGGCGCUGGGCUGGCGUGCGUGCGUGCGGGCGGGCUCGCGCGAUUGGGGUUUGGGGGAGAGUUUCGGGGAGAGCAGAUAUGGGAGGGAGGAAUAAUGGCGGAGGCGAGAUUUUAAUGCGUUUUUUCGCCUCCGCGAAUCUCCGUGAGCGAGGUGAGACCGUGACGCGGAUGGGGAGUGAGGACAGCGGGCGCGGCUGGUUUAGGCUAGAGGGUGGCUGAGAUGUGGGGCCGGGCCACGCGUCCGGUGGGUGGGUGCGGCAUGUCAGUGGGGAGAUUGCACUCGCUGGAUGUUUUUUUAUUAUUUUUAUGGAAUAUUUCUGUUUUGUUUUUAGAGGGCGGGAGGUGCGGCUUUUGGUUUCCCGCCACAUCGGCUGGGCGGCCGCGGAGCUGGCCGUCGCAGGAAGCAACGCGAACAGAGUAUGUUCUCCUCCCGAAGAGAAACCAUGCACGCUGCUACACGGACCUGCCUCCGUCUUUCAUCACGAGACAAGACAAUAAUAACCAAGAUCAUGGUAAAUCUACAAAUCCCACCGGCAUAAUUGUACCUCUUACCAAAUUAUACAGUGCAGAUAUUUUCUAGAUUUAUUUCAGGUUUUUCAACACUUUUUUUUUAGAAGUCUUGGAAUUACAAACACAUCAUUACAAAAGAAAAAUACAUCGAGAUCCUUGGGGAUACUGCAAAGACCCCCUUUUCCGGUCGGCCGCAUCGAUACGGUGUGUCCAUGGAUGAGGGUUGGGCUCGGAUGCUGGGGCAGCAGCCCAUUUGGUGGAAGCCGAGGUGCUCGUGGGCGGAGCACGCGGCUCGGGCGUUAUCCGGUCAACAUAGGCGUGUGGGCGGCAUGAUGGCCGGGGUGUGUCGUUCAAUGGCGGUGUUGCGGUUGUCCGUAACCCAUUUUGGUGAUGGUGAGUGUUGGCCAGGGUGAAAACCCGCUCUGACUUGUUAGGCCGGCGGCGGCGUUUUGGCAUCGUCACCUUCUUGAAGGCGUCUUUGCGGUAUCUCAUUUGUCGUCGUGCUGCUCCGAGGGAAACUCUAAUCCUUGGAUUGGGCGGUGGCGACGCUACGGUGUUGUUCCCUUCCUGAAGGUGCCGUCUUAGAGCCUAUUGUUCGUCAUGCACGACUUCUCAUCACGAUGGCUCAUGGCAGGACCCGACGACUUCAUAGUAGCACUUAGUGUUUCACCUGAUGUUUGCUUGGAGUUUGUUGGGGUGGUGUUGCUGUUUUCAGCGUCCUUGUAUCCAGUCUUGGGCGUGUUGGUGUGCUGUGUGUGUUUGUAUCGACUUGUUCGGUGAUGGUUGCUUUAUAUAUAAAGCGGGAGGGGGGGGGAGGGGGAACUUUUUUCGUCAAUCCGACUGGGCCCAGGAAGAUCUAUCGGAGACAUGCCUCCACACACCCUUCAUCGGCAUGGUGGGACGGGGAUAACACAAGGAGGACAUUAUUCCAAACUGGCAAACGUCACUGCCACAUCGCCCUGACCAAAGACGCCCACACCGUUGUACACCAAAAACGGGCUAGAGGUUGAGCCUGUCCUCUUGCCGGCCCAACCAAGACACAUAGACUAACUAAAUCGACCUAAAAGAAAACGCCCACACUGUACAACGCCAAAAGUCCAAAACCAGGCUAGAGGUCGAGCCCACUGCCAUCUAAUACCCCAUCUAUAGGGACCUUCGAAUGUCGUAGACACAUGCAACAUUGCUGGCGAGCGACAUCUAUCCAAAAUUGUCGCCGCCACCUGCCCCGAUCCUCCACAACCGUCCAACCCUGCCGCAUCAAACUCCGUUGUGGACAGAUCCUCCGAUCUCCCCACCGUCGUCGCCGUUUCGCGGGCUUUUCCCUUUGGUGGCGGUGAGAGGGGUUGGAGAAGCCGGAGGCGGCUAGGUCUUAUGUGUUCGCGAGUCAUGAGAGAUUGCCUCGUACGCCUCAACGCUAUUAUUUUAGUGGUAUGGCAUGUCCAUCGAAUACGACAUGCCUAAGGCAACUCUGUCAAUCUUAAGAUCUUUUUCAAUGUCAAACUGUGACAGAGUUUACAAAAACGUGAAUAUUUACAAUAUGAAAUGUAUAACGUAUGAAAAUAUCUCACAAUGAUUCUAAUGAUGUUGAUUUGUAAUGUAACAUUGAUAAAUUUUAUAUAAAUUUGAUCAAAGUUCAAUAAAUUUGAUUUUGAAGAAAUUUUAAAUGCACUAUAAUUUGACAAAGGAGUACUUACUACAACGAGUAUUUCACAACCUAAAACAAGAACCACUAUUCUGAUGCAAGGGAGCAUGUGGCCAUAGGUACUUUUUAAUGGCGAUGUAUUCUGAUGAGGCAAUUCAAUGGUUGAAAAUGGAGCGAUGUAGCCGUUUCUUAUUGGUGCAAUAACACAAGUAAGGGCAUGUUUGGUUUGUGGACUAAGUACCACAUCAUCAAACUUUAGGCAAUGUCAAUCAGCAUGUGUCCAGUUCAUUGCCACAAUAUGGCUUGUCACACUUUUUUAGUUGUUUAAGUUUAUUCCAUGGGCUCAGUUUUCGCAUGUAUAGUUCAAAACUAGCUCCGUUCACUAUUAUAAGAUGUUUUGGAUAUUUUCAUAUGGACAUCAUACAAACUGGAAUGACACAUUACAAUGUGUCUAUAUACAUUUGAUUCAGACAAAAGAAGUCAGAACAUCUUAUAAUAGUGAACGGGGGAGCACGUUAGAAGCUCAUAACAUAGCAGGUCCUGGUACUUGCACCACGAGAACUCGCGCAACAAUGAAACAUCAUACAUGUUACAGAUAAGGGAAACACAUCACACAUCCCCUUCUGCUUGCUCCUUUAUUCAUCAACUGCAACACACCAUACACAUUUAGUGAUAUUACACCCUCAGUUGUGUCACGCAACUAUGCUAGAGCACCACACA
rnacentral:lncRNA from 1 species